rnacentral:rRNA from 1 species
ACAGCAGCAGCCGCGGUAAUACGUAGGUGGCAAGCGUUAUCCGGAAUUAUUGGGCGUAAAGCGCGCGUAGGCGGUUUUUUAAGUCUGAUGUGAAAGCCCACGGCUCAACCGUGGAGGGUCAUUGGAAACUGGAAAACUUGAGUGCAGAAGAGGAAAGUGGAAUUCCAUGUGUAGCGGUGAAAUGCGCAGAGAUAUGGAGGAACACCAGUGGCGAAGGCGACUUUCUGGUCUGUAACUGACGCUGAUGUGCGAAAGCGUGGGGAUCAAACAGGAUUAGAUACCCCGGUAGUACCUGUCUCUUAUAC